GUGAUCUCUUCUAUUACUGACGUCUGUAGUCAACACAGCGAUAAUGCGAGAUUCAGGGAGUGUCUAGUUUGCCUGCAUCUUUUCCACUCCUUCCCUCAUUGCGGCUGCCUACUCUCGCCUGCAGUAGUAAAUGUGACGUCUCCUCGCAAAAGAUCAAACUUCCUGCGGCGACAGGAUGACAUCAGAGUACCGCGAGAGCGAUUCGAUAACCUUACGGAGAAGUCUAAUUUCGACUCGCUCUCGCAGUACUUUGACGUCAUCCGGCUGUCAGUUCUUGCGGCGCCGCAUGAAGUCGAACACACCUAGAGAGAUCGGAAGAUUGCUCCUUGGAUUUUAACGAAGGUCAAGGGUCAUAGCAAGCGCGAUCGCCCCAGUGCAUUCCAUGUUGGUGAAUGCUGACACGUGUACACGUGAACUUUGUUGCAGUCAGUGGGACCACUGAGAACAGCAUUUUCAAGAGCGCAGACAUUCAAGCAAAUGUUCAAGUACAUAGAGCCUAAAAAGCGUACCCCUGACAGUUACGAUUCUGCUGUUUGUGAUCUACAAACUGAAGACAUUCAGGACUAUAAAGGCAUAAAGAAAUGACUGACUCAGAAAGGACAUUUCUACACACCACCAUCACUGACAUCUUGCCUGACCUUCCAGAGGUGACCAAACAUAUUUUAGAAGAGACCUUGCAGUCUCUUGGUGUGGAGACAAGGGAUGACUUUAGGUUUA